rnacentral:rRNA from 1 species
UACAGAGGUGGCAAGCGUUGUUCGGAAUUACUGGGCGUAAAGGGCGCGUAGGCGGCCUUCUAAGUCAGACGUGAAAUCCCCCGGCUUAACCUGGGAACUGCGUCUGAUACUGGAAGGCUUGAGUGCGGGAGAGGGAUGUGGAAUUCCAGGUGUAGCGGUGAAAUGCGUAGAUAUCUGGAGGAACACCGGUGGCGAAGGCGGCAUCCUGGACCGACACUGACGCUGAGGCGCGAAAGCUAGGGUAGCAAAC